rnacentral:rRNA from 1 species
UUAAGCGACUAAGCGUACACGGUGGAUGCCCUGGCAGUCAGAGGCGAUGAAGGACGUGCUAAUCUGCGAAAAGCGUCGGUAAGGUGAUAUGAACCGUUAUAACCGGCGAUGUCCGAAUGGGGAAACCCAGUGCAAUUCGUUGCACUAUCGUUAACUGAAUACAUAGGUUAACGAGGCGAACCGGGGGAACUGAAACAUCUAAGUACCCCGAGGAAAAGAAAUCAACCGAGAUUCCCCCAGUAGCGGCGAGCGAACGGGGAGCAGCCCAGAGUCUGAAUCAGCUUGUGUGUUAGUGGAACGGUCUGGAAAGUCCGACGGUACAGGGUGAUAGUCCCGUACACCAAAAUGCACAGGCUGUGAACUCGAAGAGUAGGGCGGGACACGUGGUAUCCUGUCUGAAUAUGGGGGGACCAUCCUCCAAGGCUAAAUACUCCUGACUGACCGAUAGUGAACCAGUACCGUGAGGGAAAGGCGAAAAGAACCCCGGCGAGGGGAGUGAAAAAGAACCUGAAACCGUGUACGUACAAGCAGUGGGAGCACCUUCGGGUGUGACUGCGUACCUUUUGUAUAAUGGGUCAGCGACUUAUAUUCUGUAGCAAGGUUAACCGUAUAGGGGAGCCGCAGGGAAACCGAGUCUUAACUGGGCGUUAAGUUGCAGGGUAUAGACCCGAAACCCGGUGAUCUAGCCAUGGGCAGGUUGAAGGUUGGGUAACACUAACUGGAGGACCGAACCGACUAAUGUUGAAAAAUUAGCGGAUGACUUGUGGCUGGGGGUGAAAGGCCAAUCAAACCGGGAGAUAGCUGGUUCUCCCCGAAAGCUAUUUAGGUAGCGCCUCGUGAACUCAUCUUCGGGGGUAGAGCACUGUUUCGGCUAGGGGGUCAUCCCGACUUACCAACCCGAUGCAAACUACGAAUACCGAAGAAUGUUAUCACGGGAGACACACGGCGGGUGCUAACGUCCGUCGUGAAGAGGGAAACAACCCAGACCGCCAGCUAAGGUCCCAAAGUCAUGGUUAAGUGGGAAACGAUGUGGGAAGGCACAGACAGCCAGGAUGUUGGCUUAGAAGCAGCCAUCAUUUAAAGAAAGCGUAAUAGCUCACUGGUCGAGUCGGCCUGCGCGGAAGAUGUAACGGGGCUAAACCAUGCACCGAAGCUGCGGCAGCGACACUAUGUGUUGUUGGGUAGGGGAGCGUUCUGUAAGCCUGCGAAGGUGACCUGUGAGGGUUGCUGGAGGUAUCAGAAGUGCGAAUGCUGACAUAAGUAACGAUAAAGCGGGUGAAAAGCCCGCUCGCCGGAAGACCAAGGGUUCCUGUCCAACGUUAAUCGGGGCAGGGUGAGUCGACCCCUAAGGCGAGGCCGAAAGGCGUAGUCGAUGGGAAACAGGUUAAUAUUCCUGUACUUGGUGUUACUGCGAAGGGGGGACGGAGAAGGCUAUGUUAGCCGGGCGACGGUUGUCCCGGUUUAAGCAUGUAGGCUGGUUAUCCAGGCAAAUCCGGAUAAUCAAGGCUGAGGUGUGAUGACGAGGUACUACGGUGCUGAAGUAACAAAUGCCCUGCUUCCAGGAAAAGCCUCUAAGCAUCAGGUAACAUUAAAUCGUACCCCAAACCGACACAGGUGGUCAGGUAGAGAAUACCAAGGCGCUUGAGAGAACUCGGGUGAAGGAACUAGGCAAAAUGGUGCCGUAACUUCGGGAGAAGGCACGCUGGUGUGUAGGUGAAGUCCCUGCGGAUGGAGCUGAGACCAGUCGAAGAUACCAGCUGGCUGCAACUGUUUAUUAAAAACACAGCACUGUGCAAACACGAAAGUGGACGUAUACGGUGUGACGCCUGCCCGGUGCCGGAAGGUUAAUUGAUGGGGUUAUCCGUAAGGAGAAGCUCUUGAUCGAAGCCCCGGUAAACGGCGGCCGUAACUAUAACGGUCCUAAGGUAGCGAAAUUCCUUGUCGGGUAAGUUCCGACCUGCACGAAUGGCGUAAUGAUGGCCAGGCUGUCUCCACCCGAGACUCAGUGAAAUUGAACUCGCUGUGAAGAUGCAGUGUACCCGCGGCAAGACGGAAAGACCCCGUGAACCUUUACUAUAGCUUGACACUGAACAUUGAGCCUUGAUGUGUAGGAUAGGUGGGAGGCUUUGAAGCGUGGACGCCAGUCUGCGUGGAGCCAACCUUGAAAUACCACCCUUUAAUGUUUGAUGUUCUAACGUUGGCCCCUGACCGGGGUUGCGGACAGUGUCUGGUGGGUAGUUUGACUGGGGCGGUCUCCUCCCAAAGCGUAACGGAGGAGCACGAAGGUUAGCUAAUCCUGGUCGGACAUCAGGAGGUUAGUGCAAUGGCAUAAGCUAGCUUGACUGCGAGCGUGACGGCGCGAGCAGGUGCGAAAGCAGGUCAUAGUGAUCCGGUGGUUCUGAAUGGAAGGGCCAUCGCUCAACGGAUAAAAGGUACUCCGGGGAUAACAGGCUGAUACCGCCCAAGAGUUCAUAUCGACGGCGGUGUUUGGCACCUCGAUGUCGGCUCAUCACAUCCUGGGGCUGAAGUAGGUCCCAAGGGUAUGGCUGUUCGCCAUUUAAAGUGGUACGCGAGCUGGGUUUAGAACGUCGUGAGACAGUUCGGUCCCUAUCUGCCGUGGGCGCUGGAGAAUUGAGGGGGGCUGCUCCUAGUACGAGAGGACCGGAGUGGACGCAUCACUGGUGUUCGGGUUGUCAUGCCAAUGGCACUGCCCGGUAGCUAAAUGCGGAAGAGAUAAGUGCUGAAAGCAUCUAAGCACGAAACUUGCCCCGAGAUGAGUUCUCCCUGAGACUUUAAGUCUCCUGAAGGAACGUUAAAGACGAUGACGUUGAUAGGCCGGGUGUGUAAGCGCAGCGAUGCGUUGAGCUAACCGGUACUAAUGAACCGUGAGGCUUAACCUU